GGCCCACCCUGCGGGAUCGCGAAACCAUUAUCCUCUUCUUCCCGUGGCACGGCGGCCGCGUCGUCCUCCUCCUUCCGCCCCUUCCCCUUCCCCCUCCCCUCUCCCAGACGCUUCUAGAAACUUCCAGAGCCCCGCCCCGCCCCGCCGCCUCCGGUGACGCGGCGCGAUGUACGGCCUCCUGACCUCGCCGUGCCCUCGGGCCCCGCUGCUCCGCGCCCUCCCGAGCCCGUCCGCCCGCCCGCUCCCGAGAACCCUAGCGUUCCCCGCGCGCCCGGCCCCCCGCGGCCUCCGCCUGCCCGCGCCCUCGCGCGCCGCCGUGGAGGCGGCGGCGGCGGCCACGGCGCUGGGCGGGCUGCUGUCCUCGCCGCUCUCGGCGAUGGAGGCCGGCCUGCGGAGCGUCAACCUCGCGCCCCUGCGCGCCCCCGUGGCCGCGGCCAUGUCCGCGGCCGUGCGGUGGCUCGGCGUGUACCGCGAGGUGCUGCUCGUUGGCGUGCUGCUCUCGUGGUUCCCCAACAUCCCCUGGGACCGCCAGCCCUUCUCGGCCCUGCGCGACCUCUGCGACCCUUUCCUCGCCCUCUGCCGGGAGGUCAUGCCGCCGGUGUUCGGGCGCAAGCUCGACCUCAGCCCGCUCGUCGCGUUCAUGGCCAUCGACAUCAUCAUUAUGAUCCUGCGCCCGCAGCCACGCAUGUGAUGGCUUUCUACGGCUGUGGGGAGCACUGGUUGCGUUUGGACUGCGUAACUUUCCUCAGCACAACAUUAUGUGCUCGUCUCGAGGCGUGGCAACACAUGAGGGUUUGUUGGUGCCGUGACUGCGCUGAGCCACUUCAGCUGAUUCCGACUAGUGAUGAGGGAUUGGAGAAUGGUGGUUGGCAUAUUAGGUUUUGACUACGGGAGCGAUGGAUCAUAGGCUAUUUUUGUUCAUCGGACGGCAAAGAAAGGUGCUGCUUUAUUCUAAGGCAAGAAAGUGGUGUUUGGAUGUAGCUUUGGGACCCCAGUAUAGCUGUUACCAUGUAGUAGUGCAAUAUGAAUGAUUUCGAGACGUUUGUAGACAAGUGUAGCUUUUAUGCUAAAACUUAUUCCAUUUGCGAUAUUUGAUGGUUGCAGUAGUCAUCCAUGUGUUGGCUACAUAUUGCAGUUUUGCUCUGUAUUCAUCCAUUAUUCCAUUAUAUUGUCUGGCAGUAUAAUUUGCAUACCUUUUUUGGUGUGAUCCAGAUGAUUGGAUCUUGAGCAUAAAA